AUCAGGUAACGGGGCCCGGCUGCGGGGAUUUGGUGUGUGCCAUAUGUCUCAAAAAUAAAGUCAGCCCUUGGGCAAGAGGUUUUCUGUCCAAGCUGUUCUGAAAUCUCUUCGCGAAGAAGCCAUGGCUUUUGAUAAGCUAGGAGAGGGACCCACCCUUGCCCAGCCAGUAAAGCUCUGCGCUAUUCAAUUUGGGUCUGAGGGGAGGGUUAGCGGUGAUGUUGAACUGGAUAAUUAUUCACAUAUUUAUCAUGCUUGACAUAGCGGGGCUAAGUGACUGCAUGGGCGUUGAUGUCUGAAGACUUUGGCAUGGACGUUCCGGGGGCGUUAUGAGGCGUCCAAUGGCGUUACCCUAGUGGUUUUAGAAAUCCCAUCUGUGGUGGCGGAUUCGGUCAUGACAAAAUGUUUGACAGUCGGGGGGA
rnacentral:sRNA from 1 species